rnacentral:tRNA from 1 species
UGUGGCAUAGAUGGUUAAAGCGCCGGACUAUCAAUACGGUGUCGUGGGUUCGAAUCCCAACA